GGUGCCUUUGAGAGUUACUCUUUGCUCUCUUCGGAAGAACCCUUAGGGGUUCGUGCAUGGGCUUGCAUAGCAAGUCUUAGAAUGCGGGUACCGUACAGUGUUGAAAAACACUGUAAAUCUCUAAAAGAG
rfam:Brome mosaic virus RNA3, complete sequence.